rnacentral:rRNA from 1 species
GUGCAGCAGUCGAGAAAACUCCGCAAUGCUCGAAAGAGUGACGGGGGGAUUCCAAGUGCCUACGCUUAGCGUAGGCUGUUCAGAUGCCUAAAAAGCAUCUGGAGUAAGGGCUGGGUAAGACGGGUGCCAUCUGCAGGUGGUAAUGAAAAACUUGCUACUGCAAGGCAUAAGCCGCCGCGGUAAUACCCGCAGCCCGAGUGGUAGUCGCUUUUAAUUGGGCCUAAAGCGUCCGUAGCCGGUCUGGUAAAUGCCUGGGUAAAUCGUGGGGCCUAACCUCACGAAUUCCGGGUAGACUGCCAGACUUGGGACCGGUUGAGGGAGAGGGUACUCCGAGGGGUAGGGGUGAAAUCCUGUAAUCCUUGGAGGACCACCGGUGGCGAAAGCGCUCUCCUAGGGACGGUCGACGGUGAGGGACGAAA